rnacentral:rRNA from 1 species
AUUGAACGCUGGCGGCAUGCCUUACACAUGCAAGUCGAACGGCAGCACGGGUGCUUGCACCUGGUGGUGAGUGGCGAACGGGUGAGUAAUACAUCGGAACGUACCUUAUCGUGGGGGAUAACGCAGCGAAAGCUGUGCUAAUACCGCAUACGCCCUGAGGGGGAAAGCGGGGGAUCGAAAGACCUCGCGCGAUUAGAGCGGCCGAUGCCUGAUUAGCUUGUUGGUGGGGUAAAAGCCCACCAAGGCGACGAUCAGUAGCUGGUCUGAGAGGACGAUCAGCCACACUGGGACUGAGACACGGCCCAGACUCCUACGGGAGGCAGCUGUGGGGAAUUUUGGACAAUGGGGGCAACCCUGAUCCAGCAAUGCCGCGUAAGUGAAGAAGGCCUUCGGGUUGUAAAGCUCCUUUGUCAGGGAAGAAACACCGGCUCUAACACAGUCCGGGAAUGACGGUACCUGAAGAAUAAGCACCGGCUAACUACGUGCCAGCCGCCGCCGUAA